AUAUUUUCUUGGUAAAUUACGUCAUCCAAUUAUUAAUCUUAUUUAUUGUAAAAAGUUUUUAUUGUAGUAGUGGAUGAACAACUCUGAAGAGCCAUAGAAUUUUUUUUCUAAGGAUAAGCUUCGAUGACGGAUUGAACUGCACGUAUAGGUUUAACGUUGAAUCGUGUAAAACCAGAUUGUCGAAGAACAUAGCUCCAUUCCUUUAAGGUCCUCUCUUUCCCUUUAUUAGUAAUAGCCAUCAUCGUCAUGUCUAGCAUCAACCCUACGGCACCUAGCUCGUCGCCUUCUUUAUCUUCUUCAAGAACUGCUUCAACGAUUAUAACCUUCCCUUUAUCUUCUGGAAUGGCUUCUCGACAUUUUUUUAAGAUUUUAAUGCAUUCCUCGUCGUCCCAAUCAUGCAAUACCCACUGCAAUGUGACACGUAUGGAUUAAUCGUAUAAGACCAUAUAAUGAAGGGAAAGAAAGUACUAACCAUAAAAAACGCUGCGUCGGCGUUUGGGAUAGACAUGAACAUGUCUCCUCCUACGUUUUCAAUGCUAUCGGAUUUUGCUGAAACGGCGACGACAUGAGGGAGAUCAAAGUUGAUGCCUCGAAUCCAUGGGAAUGCCUUGACUAAAAGGCUCAAAGCAGUCCCGUUACCACCACCGACAUCGACCAGGCUUUCGACUCCGUCGAACACUUCGGGACAUCCUUCGAUUGUCGCCUGCACCGUCAGUCUAGCAUCGCAACCCAUGGCGUUGUUAAAGAGUUCUCUAAAGUCGGGGUUCGCCUCGGCGUAGCUCCAUAGAUCUUUCCCAUUUGCUACUUCAAAUGGUGAGAUAUUAUUGCCGGUUUCAAGGACUCGAGCACUAAGACUAUGCCAUGGUGCUAACCAAGUAGGGCUGGACACGAACAAUAUUAAAGCAGCCAUGGAUUUUUCUCCACGUUUUAUCAAAAGACGAGACAAUGGCGUCGAUGAGAAGCCUACAGUGUGGUGGUUGAUGUGCUCUUGUUUGAAUAUUCGGUCGUGGACCAUGAACCUCAUAAUGCGAUGAAGACGCGACGGUUCGCAUCGGAGGGCAGUGGCUAGCUCGGAUAGUGGCAUAGGGCUUCCAUAGUUUUCAAUAGUGUCGGCAAUCCCAAGCUCAAUGGCACAUUUAACGACAGCUAUUUUAGCAUAUCCUAACACAUAAUUCCAAAUCUUUAUUUCAGCUCUAGCUUCUUCCUUUACUGUCACUUCCAUAUCUCCCAUCUCAACUUUUUUUUUUAUUUUUUUUUAUUUUAGAACUUUUGGCAACUCUAUGCCCAAAUCUUGACCACGAAGCUACGAUUUAUAGAAGCAAAGGUAUUGGUUUGAACUAGGUCACAGUUCUUGAAUUUGAAAAUAUCUUGUCAAAUAUGCUCCUAACCACAAAACAAUUAUUAGAUUAAUUUGGUAAAAAAAUUACAGUCCAAUUAUUUGAGGUGUACCAAAUAGUAUAUGUAACUUAGAUUUUGGUUAACUUUUACCAUAGUACUUCAAUAGCAAUUUAUGAAUUUAAUCUUUAUAUUUUUUUAUUGAUUAAUUUCUAUCACAUUUCAAAAAUCGAGCUAAAAAAAAUUGGAUUAAUGGAUCAAGAAUUAACACGUCAUGACUUUUAAUUAAAACUUUGUAAAAUUAUGAUAAAAAUGAAUUAUCAACUAAGAAGAGAGUCUAAUUGACUUAGAGACUUGAGUUAUGUUUCGUGGGAUAUUCUCACAUUUUUCUGCCAUUCACUUCUACUUUAUUUAUGUGGUAAUGGGUGUAUGUGUGUGAUAGUGGGAUUGAUGGGUUUUUUUAACCAACUUUAUUCAGGAUCUUUCAUUUUCUGGACACUUUUACCCAAAAUCAGACACAGCUCAUCAUCUCAUAUUAUCUAAAAUUGUGUGGUAUAUAUGUUUAUAGGGUCAACUCAAAAAAAUAUUUUAAGAAAAUAAUAAUAAUUUUUGAAAAAUAAAAAUACAAUUUUAUAAAUUAUUGUUAUUUUAUCUUUUUUUUUCGUGUUUGUCUUCGUCCAUAAUGUUUAUCGAUGCUUAUCAGAUUAUUUACCCUAAAUAUUUAUUGUCACUCUUCCAGUAUAAGACUUAUUUCAUUCGAACUUUAAUUGGUUAAAACUUAAAAUGAAAUAUUAUUAUAUUAGAGAGAUUUAUUAUUGUUUAAAUUUGAAUAUAUUUUAAUUUUUAAUCUAUUAUAUUUUUGAAUUGAUUUAUUCUAAUUCUAAUUGAUCAAAUAUGUAUUAUUUGUAACUUUUACUAAAAUUUUUUUAAUACGAUACAUUAUGUUCGUACCCUUUAAAAUUUUUUUGAAAAAUUUUAAAAAUAGAAUAUAGUAUAAUCAAGUACGACCACGUAUGUAUGAUGAUAUAUAAGGAAUUAUAAAGUUGAAUUAAACUAAUAUAAACUGCAAAUAAAUUAAGAAUCGGAAUAAUUUGAACUAAAAACGACGUAGAACAAUUGUGCAGGAAGAGAUUCAGACUUUAGUACACAAAAUCUAAGACCUUGACCUUUAUCAACAACUUCGAAACUUACUUUAUCCGGAUCAAAAUAACAAUCAUAUUUUAAUUGUUUUUUGCAUUCAAUCAAAAAUUAUUCCAGAGAUAGAAUUGAAGAUUGAAAUAAUUAUUGAACAAAGGGAAUUACUAAACGAAGAGCAAGACUGAAACAUUUCUCAUGCAACAAAGUUUUAAUUGUUUUGUAGAAGUGGAUGAACGACUGUGAAGAGCCAUAGAUGUUGUUUUCUAAGGAUAACCCUCGAUGACGGAUUGAACUGCACGUAUGGGAUUAACAGUGAAUCAUUUAAAACCAGAUUGUCGAAGAACAUAGCUCCAUUCCUUUAAGGUCCUCUCUUUCCCUUUAUCAAUAUGAGCCAUCAUCGCCAUGUCUAGCAUCAACCCCACGAAACCUAGCUCGUCGUCUUCUUUAUCUUCUUCAAGAGCUGCUUCAACGAUUAUAACCUUCCCUUUAUCUUCUGGAAUGGCUUCUCGACAUUUUUUUAGGAUUUUAAUGCAUUCCUCGUCGUCCCAAUCAUGCAAUAUCCACUGCAAUUUGCAAUGUAUGGAUUAAUCGUAUAAGACCAUAUAAUGAAGGGAAAAAAAGUACUAACCAUUAAAAACGCUGCGUCGGCGUUUGGGAUAGACAUGAACAUGUCGCCUCCUACGUUUUCAAUGCUACCGGAUUUUGGUGCAACGGCAACGACAUGAGGGAGAUCAAAGUUGAUGCCUCGAAUCCAAGGGAAUGCCUUGACUAAAAGGCUCAAAGUAGUCACGUUACCACCACCGACAUCGACCAGGCUUUCGACUCCGUCGAACACUUCGGGACAUCCUUCGAUUGUCGCCUGCACCGCCAGUCUAGCAUCGCAACCCAUGGCAUCGUUGAAGAGUUAUCUAUGGCCGGGGUUUGUCUCGAACUAGCUCCAUGGAUCUUUCCCGUUCGCAGCUUCAAAUGGUGAGAUAUCAUUGCCGGUUUCAAGGACUCGAGCACUAAGACUAUGCCAUGGUGCUAACCAAGUCGGGCUGGACUCGAGCAAUAUAAAAGGGCCCAUGGAUUUUUCUCCAUCUUUUAUCAAACGACGAGACAAUGGCGUAGAUGAGAAGCCUACAGUGUGUUGGUUGAUGGGUUCCUGUUUGAAUAUUCGGUCGUGGACCAUGAACCUCAUAAUGCGAUAAAGACGCGACGGUUCGCAUCGGAGGGCAGUGGCUAGCUCGGAUAGUGGCAUAGGGCUUCCAUAGUUUUCAAUAACAUUGGCAAUCCCAAGCUCAAUGGCACAUUUAACGACAGCUAUUUUAGCAUACCCGAACACAUAAUUCCAAAUAUCUACUUCAGCUCUAGCUUCUUCUUCUUCGAUUCCACUCACUUCCAUUAUUAUUAUUUUUCUCUUGGAAAACUUUAUAAUUCUAUUCGCAACUCUUGAGGAUGAAAAGUUUUGUUGAAGACCCCGAUUUAUACGAGCAAAGGGUUAGAUUUUCUCUCUUCAAUUUCAGUUUUUUUCCUAAAAUAAAUUAAAUCUAAUUGAAAAUAUCAAAAUUUAGGAGAAAAACUGAUGUGACAUUAUGACAUUAAAUUAUUAAAAAAUGAUACAAAUGGCGUGUGAUUUCAAAUUCAUACAAUCAUGAUGAACAUCCUAAAAUAAUAUAAUUAUCAUGAUAUAACUUGGUGGAACAUUUUUUAAUAUAUAUAUUUAUGUGUUUUUUAAUGGAAUUUUUUUUAAUAUAGUUGUUUCCACCACUGAUUUCCUUUGGAAAAUUUUAGUUAUUAUCGUGAUUAAAAUUGCUUGAUUCUGCUCAACUAAUAAGGGAGAUUUUUUAUAAAUUGUAUUAUUGAACCUAAAAGUUUAACCAUGAAGGAGUGGUUGAAUGACAUUGAAUAAAAAUAAUAAAAGCUUAAUAUAUUAAUUGAUCCUUGAAUUUAACAGUUUUUCUCACAUUAGUUCUUAGAUAUUUCUUUGGAUUAUAUUAGUCUCUAAAUUUGGCAACCAUUACAGACACCAAUUUCUAAGGUUAAGGGUGGGUUUGGAUAGGCGGUACGUUUACUUACGAUUAGUGUAAAAACAGCAGUGGCAGUGAGAUUAGAUACUGUAGCGAUAUUGUAGUGUGAGACAAAAAGUAAGAUAAACGCACCGCACCCAGUCAUCCAUCCAAACUCACCCUAACACCAUUUAGUUUUUAGCAAUUUUGGUGACAUGGACUAAUAUCGUUGUGAUACAUGCUAUAUAUAUAUAUAUAUUCAACUUUCUUUAUAAUAACUACCCAUUAUAACACAACAUUUCGCUAUAACAAUAAAAUUUUUAUCAGAAUUGAUUUUUUAUGUUUUAUUUUAACCUUCUAUAAUAAUUUUUCACUUAUAACAAUAAUAGCUAUAAUUAUGAAGUACAUCCUUUGUUAAAUCAGUUCUUUAAAACAACACCUUGCUUAAAAUUUUAAGUAAAACUAUAACUAUUCAUAUAAGCAAACCUAUUACUUAGAAUUUGAUCUUCUUCUUUUGUUCUUUUCCUUUUUCUUUCUUUUAAUUUUACAUUUUUUUAUAACAUUGAGAGUUAAUCUUAAAAGAAAGAAUAACAAUAAAAGUUAUUAUUUAGAAUUUUUGGGUGUUUUCAUUUUUUUUUGUUUAUUUUCAAUCAAAUUUAGCUAAUAAAUUAGACUUUUAGCUUUUUAGGUGAAAAGAUCAGAAGAACAACAAAAUUACAAAAAAAAGACCAAAUUACACAAUGUGUAAACAUUGAGGGUUAGAUUGUUUAGAAUCAAGACUAAUUUGACCCAAUAUAUAAAUGUUAAAGAUUAAGGUUGCCAUUAUGCCAAUUUUAGAAGCUACCACCGCUAGCUUGUUGGUGACAAAAAAUGAUAAAAUUUAAUAAUUAAAUAACUAUUUUAUAACUUUUUAUAAUUGGGUGAUCAAAAUAAAAUUUACUAAUAUUUAAGUGAAUACUAAUUAAUUUAUUUAUUUUUCAUUUCGAUAAACAAACAAAUCGUGGACCAUAGAAUUUAAUCUCUCUUCACAAAAUCAGACAUGGGUUCUUUCUUUGGACAAUGGUUACCCAAAAUAGAGAAAAAUUUUCACAUAAAUGUUCGAUAUGAUUAGUGCCCCCACUAAACAGCUCAUCAUCUCAUAUUUAUCUAAAAUUGUGGUAUAAAUGUUUAUAGGGGUUAUGGGACAUCUCAAAUGGAUUAACGCUUCUUUUGGAGAGGAGUUAUGACUUUGUAAUAAUCCAAACAGACAGUAUAGAGGCCGUUCAAGUUAUUAAAGACUAGGCUUGUAAGGACUUGGACUCAACUUUAAUAAGAAGAAAUCAUCAAAUUUUGUCUAGUAUUAGACAUUGGGACAUUUGUCACAUUCCGAAGUCGAUGAAAUUGCUAAACUAGUUCAAGAAAUGAGGGAAUGUCUUUCAAGUGUUUGAAGUGUCCCCAUUGGGAAGUUUUAUUUUAUCGUAAUUUUUUAGGUUUUGUAUUUUCACCAAAUUUUUUUUAAGAAAAUAGAAAAUAAUAAUAAUUUUUGAAAACUCAAAGUACAAUUAUAUUAAAUUUGUGAUUUCAUCCAUAAUGUUAUUCAUAUCUAUCUAAUUAUUUGUCCUAAUCAUCCGAAAUUUAGGCCUAGUUUGGAUUGGUGGUACGUUUAACUGUAGUUAGUGUAAACAUAACGGUGGCGAUGAUAUUAGAUACUGUAGCGUGAGACAAAAAAUAAAUUAAAAGCACCGCACCCAAUCACCCAUCUAAAUCCACCUUAGUUAGUUACAAUCUAAAAUGAAAUAUAUAUUAAUAUAAUAAUAUAUUAUAUUGGUGUUUUGUUCAGUUUUAUUAUGGUUUAAAUUCAAAUAUAUUUCAAAUUUCAAUCUAUUAUAUUUUAUAUUGAGUUAUUCUAAUUUUAAUUGAUCAAAUAUGUAUUAUUUGUAACUUAUACUAAGCUUCUUCUUUUUUAAGUAACUCAUACUAUAUUUGUAGUUAUAAAUUCUUUCAAAAAAAUAAAUUAGGAUUCAUUAUAACAACACAAGCCAUGUUUUAAUAGAGCGUAUUACGAACUCAAAUCCUUUGAAUUUUUUUGAAAAAGUUUACAACUAGAAUAUAGUAAAUCAAGUACAACACAAUUAUAAAGUUGAAUUGAAUCAAUAUAAAUUACAAACAGAUUAAGAACGGGAAUAAAUUAAAUUAAAAUUCACACGUGACAAUUGCGUAUGAUGAGACUCAAGUUUUGGUAUACAAGACUCAAAAUCUCGACUUUUACCAACAAUGCCAAAACUUAUUCGACAGACAAUUCAAACCUCUUAUCCGAUAUCAAAAUACCAGUUGUAUUUUAAUUAUUUUUCACAAUCAAUCUAAAACUAUUCCAGAGGUAGAAUUAAAAUUGGUAUCAGUUUUAAAUAAAACCGGAUUAAUUGAUAUAUUGAUUCCAACAGAAUGAUUUUAAAGAAAACCACUCAAAACCAAGAUUUAUUGUAGUAGUGGAUGAACAACUGUGAAGAGCCAUAGAAUUUUUUUUUUCUAAGGAUAAGCUUCGAUGACGGAUUGAACUGCACGUAUAGGUUUAACGUUGAAUCGUGUAAAACCAGAUUGUCGAAGAACAUAGCUCCAUUCCUUUAAGGUCCUCUCUUUCCCUUUAUUAGUAACACCCAUCAUCGUCAUGUCUAGCAUCAACCCUACGCCACCUAGCUCGUCGCCUUCUUUAUCUUCUUCAAGAACUGCUUCAACGAUUAUAACCUUCCCUUUAUCUUCUGGAAUGGCUUCUCGACAUUUUUU
rnacentral:lncRNA from 1 species